AUGAAUGCUCUGUUCUGGAAUGUGAGAGGGAUUACUGCCCCUGGUAGGAAAGUUUUGAUCCUGGAAACUAUGGCUAAAACCCAUGCUUCCAUUGUAGGUUUUCAAGAAACUAAAAAAGAGGAGUUUUCGGACUCCUUUUUAAAAUCUCUAGUAGGUAAUAGAAACUUUUCCUGGCAUCACUUACCAGCCCAGGGCUCUGCUGGAGGCAUCCUGAUGGGAGUGGAUCUGGACAUCUUAGAUGUUGUCUCCUGGUCCAAUUUAGAAUCUUCUGUUAGUUGUGUAAUGAAGUUGAAAACUAAUGAUAAUCCAUUUAGAGUCAUUACUGUCUAUGGUUCUCCUUAUGAAGAAGGGAAAGAAGAAUUUAUCUCUAAACUUCAUACCUUGUUCUUAGAAGACCCCCUCCCCACCCUUAUAGGGGGAGAUUUUAACUUAAUGAGA
rnacentral:rRNA from 1 species